GUCGUCCGCGCCGGUGACUCCCCGUCCCCUUAAGGCCUUAAGGGGCAAUUCCGUACGCUCGGGCCCUCCUCCUCGCCUCCACGAAACUGGACACGUGUCGAGGCAGUACGCCCGGGAGGACCACGGCCGUCCGGCGAGCUUGACACAUUGCCACCUCCCUUGACCCCAUGCCGCUGAAAAAACCUUAACGAAGCUUUAUUUCAUCUUAUUUCUUGGUCUUCUCAAGGUGAACCUCCGCCGACUCUUCCCGUCUCUUCCAGCGUUUUCUUCGGUCGGAGAUCUGGAAGAAAGAUUUGGAGGUUGUUGCUUUCUAUUAUAUUUUUCUGAUUCGGAGUUGGAUCGUCUUCUACCUUUCUCGGUGGAUCUCAAACUUGUUGGCAGAUGAUGGCGGGUUUCUGCUUUGGCCAGGCUUUGGUUGACAACGAGAGAGAGCACGCCGGUCGGCAACCAUGCAUGCGGUCAUGACUGUGUACUGGCGUGCUCUAUCUCGUUGCCACUCAGCUUCACUCAGCGAAAGCUGCCUCCCAUUGCCCGUGGAGUUCAUCUUUCUAAGCCGGCGUCCCUGGUUUCACCAAUUGAAUGAUAUUACAUGGGUUAGAUAUAUAAGGAUGUUGUUCUCUAACAACUUCAAUUGUCGAUUUGGGAACAUACUACAUACUGUCCUGGGAUCAUGAAAUGGUGGGCCGGGACGCCAAUUGAAAAUGUUGGACCAUAAUUAGCUAUGUAUCUGCUUCGAGGCAAUAUGAUUUUAUUGUUUAGAAUGGGAUCUACAAGGCUUGUCUCGUGUCACAUGAUGCAUGAUGAACAUGUUCGGCAUUUCUAGUUUGCAGGUGACUAAAUUGAAUGCAACUCGAGAAACAGUGAUGUUCCAUUUUAUGGAAUUACCAGCAGGUCAGCCAACUCCAGUGGCACAUCAUCAUCACCCAGUAUGCACAGCAAGGCGAGUCCAAAAUCUGCAAGCCAAUCCGCUACCGGAUAUGUUUUUUCUUUUUCUAUUUUGUAAUAAUUGAGAAUAAUUUCAAUCAAAUAAGGAAACUUAGUACUGGAAAUCUUUGUUUUGACGCAAAUACUACCAGAUCAGUAUGUUGGGAUUGUUGUACAGGGGGUCUGGUAUGCAUGGUUCUGAUGACUGA